GAGCCAUUGGCGUUUACACUGGGAAGCCGCUGGAUGCCCCAAGUGGAGGUGCUAAGCCACAGAGGCCGUGGGACCCCACCAAUCCCGGACAGAAGGAAAGAUAUUUAUGACAGCUUUAUCUAUAAUAGCCCCAAACUGGAAACAAUGCAAAUGCUAACCAGCAAAAGAAUGGAUAGACAAAGUGUGGUCUAUCCACGCAAUGAAAUCCUACUCAGAAAUAAUAAUGAAUGAGCUACACAUGGAUGAGUUUCAAAACCAUUACGUUGCAGUUAAAGAAGCCAGAAGCUAGAGUACAAAUUGCUUGAUUCCAAGCAUACGAUGUCCUAGAAGAGAAAGAAACUGAUCUAUGGGGAUAGAAAUCUGAAGCAUCAUUUGCCUCCGGGCAGGUGGGAUUGACCAGGGUUGUUCCUGCUCUUUAAUCAAAGAAUGGAAGAAAUGUGACAAGCCCCCCUCCACGAGCAGCUGAAAGGGUGAGCGCCAAAGACGCAGAAUCUUCAUUUCCUUUGUCCCCACGGCCCCCAGGCCUUGCUCCCUGCAGUGCCCAGGCCUCAGUGCAGGCCUUCAGGAGACUGGACAUUCCGUCACCCGCGGAAUACAGCGGAGCCCAGUUUGGGGCGCUCACAGGAAACAUCCUGACCAGGUCUACCGGUGAAGGACUGCAGGGAGGAAGAAAUUAACACAUCCCCUCCGGAGGCUGACCAGAACUGGAAAGUGUUUGACUUUACUCCCCUCCCCUUUUAGUAUCAAAGAAGCCUGAAUUCUAACUCAGGCAAGAUGGUUCUUUGGGACAUGAGUCCGCCACCUUCUCGGUCUGCCGGCUUUCCAAAUAGAGUCACUAUUCCUUGUCCCAACAA